AAAACAAGAGGCUGUCACAACGACAACAAACCGGAUUUAUUUACAUUUAUUUGUGUCGUGGCAAUAUCACAAGAACCAUUACUGAUGAAUGGUGAAAGUGAAAAUCAUCAAUAUCAAAUUUGACCUCCAUUUUGUCAUCAGUAUCAACAUUUUGAAAUAAUAAUAUUUGAAAAGCUUAGAUUGAAUGGUUCAUGAGUAAAUGCAACAACGUGAAUGGAAACGCCAUUUUACAAUCUUUCAAGAACCAUAACUCCUGAACAGUAAAAGUCAAAAUCGUCAUUAUGGAACUUGACCUCUAUUUUGUCAUCAGUAACAACAUAUUAAAAUUUCAAAAGCU
rnacentral:lncRNA from 1 species